rnacentral:rRNA from 1 species
UACGAAGGGGGCUAGGCGUUGCUCGGAAUCACUGGGCGUAAAGGGUGCGUAGGCGGGUUUUAAGUCAGGGGUGAAAUUCCUGGAGGCUCAACUCCAGAACUGCCUUUGAUACUGAAGAUCUUUGAGUCCGGGAGAGGUGAGUGGAACUGGCGAGUGUAGAGGUGAAAUUCGAUAGAUAUUGCAAGAACACCAGUGGCGAAGGCGGCUCACUGGCCCGGUACUGACGCUGAGGCACGAAAGCGUGGGGGAGCAAACAGGG